CAUUACUUCACACAUCAAUGAUCUUCACACAUCAAUGAUCUCCUCAUAGCUGUACUACAACACUUAGUUUGGAAAAAUAUGCUUUUGCAUAAUUUUGGUGAAUUUUGAAUGGGAAAAAAUAUUCAAUAACUUUGCUUUUAAAAAGUGUAGUUCCAUCAAAAUGUUUUAAUAAGUU